rnacentral:rRNA from 1 species
AUUGAACGCUGGCGGCAUGCUUUACACAUGCAAGUCGAACGGUAGAGGGGGCAACCCCUUGAGAGUGGCGAACGGGUGAGUAAUGCAUCGGAACGCGCCCAGUCGUGGGGGAUAACGCAGCGAAAGCUGUGCUAAUACCGCAUACGAUCUCUGGAUGAAAGCGGGGGACCGAAAGGCCUCGCGCGAUUGGAGCGGCCGAUGUCAGAUUAGGUAGUUGGUGGGGUAAAGGCUCACCAAGCCAACGAUCUGUAGCUGGUCUGAGAGGACGACCAGCGACACGGGGAAUGAGACACGGCCCAGACUCGUACGGGAGGCAGCAGUGGGGAAUUUUGGACAAUGGGCGCAAGCCUGAUCCAGCAAUGCCGCGUGCAGGAAGAAGGCCUUCGGGUUGUAAACUGCUUUUGUACGGAACGAAAAGGUCUGGGUUAAUACCCUGGGCACAUGACGGUACCGUAAGAAUAAGCACCGGCUAACUACGUGCCAGCCGCCGCCGUAA